rnacentral:rRNA from 1 species
UCUCCAGACUCCUACGGGAGGCAGCAGUGGGGAAUAUUGGACAAUGGGGGGAACCCUGAUCCAGCGACGCCGCGUGAGUGAAGAAGUCUUUCGGUAUGUAAAGCUCUAUCAGCAGGGAAGAAAGAAAUGACGGUACCUGACUAAGAAGCCCCGGCUAACUACGUGCCAGCAGCCGCGGUAAUACGUAGGGGGCAAGCGUUAUCCGGAUUUACUGGGUGUAAAGGGAGCGUAGACGGCAGUGCAAGUCUGAAGUGAAAGGCGGGGGCCCAACCCCCGGACUGCUUUGGAAACUGUGCUGCUGGAGUGCAGGAGAGGCAAGUGGAAUUCCUAGUGUAGCGGUGAAAUGCGUAGAUAUUAGGAGGAACACCAGUGGCGAAGGCGGCUUACUGGACUGUAACUGACGUUGAGGCUCGAAAGCGUGGGGAGCAAACAGGAUUAGAUACCCCGGUA